AUUGAACGCUGGCGGCAGGCCUAACACAUGCAAGUCGAGCGGAUGAAGGGAGCUUGCUCCCGGAUUCAGCGGCGGACGGGUGAGUAAUGCCUAGGAAUCUGCCUGGUAGUGGGGGACAACGUUUCGAAAGGAACGCUAAUACCGCAUACGUCCUACGGGAGAAAGCAGGGGACCUUCGGGCCUUGCGCUAUCAGAUGAGCCAAGGUCGGAUUAGCUAGUUGGUGAGGUAAUGGCUCACCAAGGCGACGAUCCGUAACUGGUCUGAGAGGAUGAGCAGUCACACUGGAACUGAGACACGGUCCAGACUCCUACGGGAGGCAGCAGUGGGGAAUAUUGGACAAUGGGCGAAAGCCUGAUCCAGCCAUGCCGCGUGUGUGAAGAAGGUCUUCGGAUUGUAAAGCACUUUAAGUUGGGAGGAAGGGUUGUAGAUUAAUACUCUGCAAUUUUGACGUUACCGACAGAAUAAGCACCGGCUAACUCUGUGCCAGCAGCCGCCGUAACAC
rnacentral:rRNA from 1 species